rnacentral:rRNA from 1 species
GAUGAACGCUGGCGGCGUGCCUAAUACAUGCAAGUCGAGCGAACAGACGAGGAGCUUGCUCCUCUGACGUUAGCGGCGGACGGGUGAGUAACACGUGGAUAACCUACCUAUAAGACUGGGAUAACUUCGGGAAACCGGAGCUAAUACCGGAUAAUAUAUUGAACCGCAUGGUUCAAUAGUGAAAGACGGUUUUGCUGUCACUUAUAGAUGGAUCCGCGCCGCAUUAGCUAGUUGGUAAGGUAACGGCUUACCAAGGCAACGAUGCGUAGCCGACCUGAGAGGGUGAUCGGCCACACUGGAACUGAGACACGGUUCAGACUCCUACGGGAGGCAGCAGUAGGGAAUCUUCCGCAAUGGGCGAAAGCCUGACGGAGCAACGCCGCGUGAGUGAUGAAGGUCUUCGGAUCGUAAAACUCUGUUAUUAGGGAAGAACAAAUGUGUAAGUAACUAUGCACGUCUUGACGGUACCUAAUCAGAAAGCCACGGCUAACUACGUGC